rnacentral:rRNA from 1 species
CCUACGGGGGGCUGCAGUGGGGAAUUUUGGACAAUGGGCGCAAGCCUGAUCCAGCCAUGCCGCGUGCGGGAAGAAGGCCUUCGGGUUGUAAACCGCUUUUGUCAGGGAAGAAAUCCUCUGGGCUAAUACCUCGGGGGGAUGACGGUACCUGAAGAAUAAGCACCGGCUAACUACGUGCCAGCAGCCGCGGUAAUACGUAGGGUGCGAGCGUUAAUCAGAGUUACUGGGCGUAGAGCUGUAACAGGCAGGUGAAAUCCCCGGGCUCAACCUGGGAACUGCCUUUGUGACGGCAAGGCUUGAGUGCGGCAGAGGGGGAUGGAAUUCCGCGUGUAGCAGUGAAAUGCGUAGAUAUGCGGAGGAACACCGAUGGCGAAGGCAAUCCCCUGGGCCUGCACUGACGCUCAUGCACGAAAGCGUGGGGAGCAAACAGGAUUAGAUACCCUUGUAGUC